rnacentral:lncRNA from 1 species
UACGAUCUUCAUCUUUCAGACCACCGAAGUGGGUUUUCUCAGGCGGCGGGGGAGGUGGUGGAGGCUGUGGGCUAAUACCAGUUGUUGCAGACUGGGUACUGAAGAGUCUAGUGCCUACUUCCCAACUCUCACUGUGAAGCCGAAACAAAGCAGUUCUUUGCAGAGAAAGUAUGCCCUUGAUAGGUGCCUAUCAAAACAAUGCAGAAUAACAUCAAGGUUAGAGAAACAAGUCUUAUCAGUCCACCAUUCAACAAGUGUGUUUCUAUCAACUGUCAUCUAUAACAUUCAGAACAUAACUCUCAACAAUAACUUAAUCAGUAUGUUCUCAUCAAGGAGCUUACUAUAGUCAGAAUACGCACUUGUAAUAACACUAAUCAAUAAACCCACCUUCCACUAGUAAGCAGGACAUUGCAAUUUGUAUCACUUCCUUAAUGAGGAGGUGAAACAGUGAAAGUCUCCAAAGAACCUCAUAGAAUAGGGUUGAAAUAACACAAGGUUGUCCAGAAAUUAGAUGUAAUGACCUAAGAAGCAGAAGGUAUUUUUAAAAAAAAAUUCCUAAAUCCUUUAAAACAGGAGCAAGUUCUCAAUCUCCAACCUUUCCAGGGGAAAUAUCUGGCUGGAAAUGUUCAAAGACAUUUACCACCACAUUGAUCUGUUAACAUUCACAUCUAUCUAGGAAACCGUGCAUGGUUUAAAUAAAUAUGAAAAACUUAAAAGCCAGGGAAGUAAAAGUGCAAAUAAAAGCUCAUAUUUCAUCAUGAUUUGGGUGCACCUACCUUUUAAUUUAUAAAAAGUUUUAUCUUUUUCAUUGCACAAGGCAUAGAAAAUUAAUUCAUUAGAAGUUUUCACUUAAUUUAGAUCAAACAGAACGGAUUGCCGGUACAUACAUUCUCGUAAUUAGAUUCCUUAUCAAAUUUUAACAAAGAAUCACCGGCGGAUCCAUAAGCAAGCUCAACAUUAGCAAUCACCCAUGUAAAUCUCUCUCUAUAUAUAGAUAUAUACAUUAGAUAUAGACAUCUCAAAGAAGUAAAUCAGAGCGAUAUUUGUACCAUUAUACCAUGAAAAGUUGCAGAAGAACUGAAAUUGAAUCAGCAAUUCAGCUCAGCUAGCUGAUCUCAUUAACAAAUUUUUACUUGCAGCUUUUGUCAACGAGGAAGAUGAUGAGAAUUCAGAGAUACCGGCCAAAUGUGAAAAGGACGAAGUAGGACAGGAACUGUAAUUGACGGUGUAGAUGUAUUUAGGUGAAUGGGAGUAAGUACAGUUAACGGUGAAGAUUUGAUGCUGGUGUUAGUGAUGAUUAACGGAACGCGUGGAGAAAAAUCGGG